rnacentral:sRNA from 12 species
UUAAAGAGAUACCGGGUGUCGGGCGCUUCCUCCUCCGGCUGUUCUCCUUCACAGUCGUGAUCCAUGUGCCGCACAGGCGGUAUCCCGCUUCGUGUGCAAAAAAGCUCGUC